AUGGGGUUUGGGGGACCCCACGAUGCCUCGGGGCUCCAAUGGGGGCUCAGGGCUCACAUGGGGGCUGGGGACCCCACGAUGCCUCGGGGCUCCCACGGGGACUCAGGGCUCACAUGGGGGUUGGGGGGGCCCCGCGAUGCCUCAGGGCUCCCAUGGGGGCUCAGGGCUCACAUGGGGGCUGGGGACCCCAAGAUGCCUCGGGGCUCCCACGGGGGCUCAGGGCUCACAUGGGGGUUGGGGGGGCCCUGCGAUGCCUUAGGGCCCCCACGGGGGCUCAGGGCUCACAUGGGGUUUGGGGAACCCCACGAUGCCUCGGGGCUCCAAUGGGGGCUCAGGGCUCACAUGGGGGCUGGGGACCCCACGAUGCCUCGGGGCUCCCACGGGGACUCAGGGCUCACAUGGGGGCUGGGGACCCCACGAUGCCUCGGGGCUCCCACGGGGGCUCCGUGUUGUGGGAAUCAAGAGGUGGACAGGCCCUGCUCUCGGGGAGCUUGGACCCUCCAUGCCUGGCUGGGGGCCCCCGCCCUGGGCUCCUCCUCCGUCUGCCUCGGCCGGUUCCCAGCGAGCUGCCCGCUGUACUUGCCAAUGGAGCCAGAUGCUGCUUUGGGGAAAAUACCUUCUGGAGUUUGUUGUCUGGGCCCUCCCAGCCGACACCCACGGUGGAGAAGAUGUGUCAGGAUACAUGGAAAAUCUCUUCAUAAAUAUUUGGAAAAAAGCAAAAGGGAAAAGGAAAGAAGAACUAACUGUCUGGGAUGCCUUUGGGGGCAUCUUGGUGAUGGCCAUGGACAGAUGAGGAAGGCAGGUCACCAACAUUUGUCACCUUGUAGGAGGCCCCAGUGGGAGCCGCCAGGGCCGGGCCCGGUUUGGGCUGUGGGCACUGAGGGGCCUUGGCUCUGGGGAGAGGCCAGGCCUGCCUGGGUCACCAGCAGAAGCCGUGGAGCUCAUGUGGUGCCAAGCUGCCACUUCUCCAUGAUGUAUAAUCGUGUCUCUGAACUCAGCUGCCUUGGGACUUCACUACAAGUGGAGCACAGCCUGAAGUGGCUUCAGGGGCGCCCCUGGGAGGAGAGUGGAGAGGCCCCGGGGGCCAAGACACUGAAGGUGGAGCUGGCGCUGGAGCAGAGGGGGUGCAGCAUGGCCGAGCCGACCCGGAGACGGACUCCACCGCCCGGAAGGCUCAGCCGAGGGGACAGAGUGGGCAGCGUCCUCCUCAGGCCAGGCCUCCCCAGUGACAGGGGCCCUUCCCAGGUCUGGAGACCCCCUUGGCCUCACCCCUGGGCAGCCCAGUUCCAGCCACACUGGCCCACGCAUCCCUGGAAACAGAAGCUGCUGCUCAGGUCCUCCUGUCCUUGGGCUCUUCACAUGCCCUCUUGCUGCCCUCUGGCAGCAUCACUUACCCGAUGCAGGGGCCUGGCUCCCUUCGUCUCGGAUCACAGGGGACGGAUUCUUCACACUGGAGGGAAGGACGGUCCGAGGGGGCAGCCACCGGGCUGGGCAGGGUCCCUGGAAGACAAAAUGCUGGGAGAGCGUUCUUAG
rnacentral:lncRNA from 1 species